UACGGGGGGGGCAAGCGUUGUUCGGAAUUACUGGGGGUAAAGGGUUCGUAGGCGGUGCGGCAAGUUGGGAGUGAAAUCUCUGGGCUCAACCCAGAGACGGCUUCCAAAACUGCUGUGCUUGAGUGUGAGAGAGGCUCGUGGAAUUGCAGGUGUAGCGGUGAAAUGCGUAGAUAUCUGCAGGAACACCCGUGGCGAAAGCGGCGAGCUGGAUCACUACUGACGCUGAAGAACGAAAGCUAGGGGAGCAAACAGG
rnacentral:rRNA from 1 species